GCGAUUUUUUGUUGCUAGCUCCAGGUUCUCUAGAAUUUUUCUUCCAAGGCCAGAAGGAAGAGAGCUAUCAUAGAUACUACACUAUUAGUUGCAAAUCUUAUCGGUUUCCAAUAGACAAGAGUCGCGCGCUCUACGUCACCAAAAUCCGUCAGAUGUCGGAGCUGAGGAGGAGCUGAACAGAUGUUGGAGUAGGCGGAAUUUGUGCAGCUACAAUACCAAGGCGAUCAUCAACGGGGCAGCGGCAACAACUGUUACAAGCAGUAAAAAUAAGAUAAAAUUCAAACUCGUAGUGAAAUUGCGGCAAGAGCCGAAAUAAAGAGUCGUAGACAUUUCGUUGCUGCACCGCGAACAAGGAGGGAGAUCUGUGAUGCGAUGCUUCGGUGUAUCUCACAGAUGCACAGAUACUCGCUUCACAUUUUCGUGCAGUGUGCGGAAGGCAGGUCAAAAUAAUUUGGCUUACUGCGGAAGCGAGAGGAAGAGAAAAGGCCAGCUGUCGCCCAUUUGGAUCGGAUCCGUAUGCCACUAAUAUAUAUUAUAUCGUGUGGCUGCCACGUGUCGCAGUUCGUGGGCAAGUCCAUUGGGCAAUUGGUCAGUUCGGCCGAACAAUGGCCAAUUAGUAUGCAUGCGAGUUUGAAAAGUGAACUUGCGAUUAGCCACAAAGUUGCCCAAUAUACAAAUGUAUGUACAUACAUAUCUGCAAAUACAGGGCAAGUUCUCUAAGUCGCACCAAGCUGAAGCGAGAGCUCGGUACUAAGUAGUAAUUUGGUUUACUAUAAGCAUUUUAAAAUAUGUAAUUUCCUUGAUUAAAUUGAUUUUAAUUUGAUUUUAUUUUUA